rnacentral:sRNA from 1 species
UUCGACUCGAGCGAAGCGAGAGAACGUUGCAUCAGCAACGGCCCGCAGGGCGAGCCACGCAGUGGCGAGUCAUCCUCUAUCACCGACCA